CACACAUGAUCAACUCCAUAAUACUAUGCCAGUUAUCUGUAGCCUUAUGUCUUUAGUUUUCUGACAUCACCAAAUAGUUUCUUAUCUGCGUCUGGUAUUAUUUAUACACACAUAUAUAUAAAAAGCCAUCUUCCACCAUCUUAUAGACUGCUGGCUGAGAAUAAAUCAUGCAAGGAGAACAGGCCAGACUUUGGGACCACCUUGGGGAAUACCCCACCCCACAGUUGUUGCCAUCUUGGCAAAUACAAGCAAGAAGCGCACAUUCACUCUGAAGUCAGAGGAGGCAAAUUGCAUAUACUGAAAUGGUGAGUUUCAGCCAAAAAAACUCCAUUCUGACAAGAGUCACUGCUAUUCAUAUGACUAGGCUCAUUAAGAGUGAGAAUUGGAAAAAACUGCAGGAUGGAGUCUGCGUGUGCCUCCUGGCUGAGAUAUUCAGCUGUAUUUUUCCUUGUGAAAGGAAAAUUAUCCCUGCAACAUGAAAGCAAUAAAUAUAGUGGGAUUACUACUCAGCAACUCAAUGGAUACUACUUCAAACAGCCCUAUAGUUAGUAAGUACUCAGUGACAGUAAUUGUUACAAGCAACUGAACCACCAGAGAGAGAUUUCCAUGUUAUCUCUACCCAUACAUACAUAAAAUACCAGUUUGUACAAAUCCAAAGUAUGUGAGGUUAAAGCUAAUGGGCAAGCUUUGUUGAGCAUCUCAAAAAUCAAAUUAACUGCAAUCAAAUUCAUGGCACAACUCAGGGUUCAUUUCAUUACUAUCAGAAAAUUCAAUCUCUGAAAUCUUACAAUAUUAAGCUAAAGCAAUGAUCUUUCUGUUAAAGUUCUCUCUUUUUUCAUUUCAAGGUGAAAUAAAGCUGGCAUGCCUGGGGAAGGUGAAGGUGACGAUUCCCAACAGAUACUACUGAAAGCCUGGCAAACAUUUAAUCAAUUACUGUUAAAUAAAGGAAAGGAAAAAACCCCAAACAUCCUUUCAAACACAUACUCAAAGACAUGUUGCAUUACAAAUUCUACAUCUUGCAUCUAUUUCUACAUCAUGCCUUUUCCUGCACAAAUGCAUAUGUAGGCAUAAACACACAUACAUAGGUAGGCAUAUAUAUAUUUAAUUUCAAUACAAUACAAUACAAAUACAAAUCCAUUAGGGAGCUAGUUAAAUCUGCUCAUUGCUGCAAUAACUAAUCAUAUCUCUGUGCUGUACUGCAGGUGGGAAAAUCAGAAGUUCAGUGCAUUAAAUUCCAGCAUUUUCCUUUUUAAAAUAAAUCUGCAUUUUUGGUUUAUUUCACAGUAUGCACUUACUUAACCUUACUGAAAGAUCUAGCUGUAAAAUACUCACUGCAAUUUCAGACUCCUUUUUAUCCCUCCUCUUCAAGGUUUCCAACUAGGUUUCUCUGCAGGAGUCAAGUGCAGUUUUAAUAAGGCAGAUGAGGCAGGGCUUCUCAACUGCUUUUGAUAGAGGUGAGGUGGUCAGCUCUUUAUUGACUUUCUGCAGUACUGCAGCUACAGACCGUACAGACAAUCUUGCUUUAUGAGCAUGCACCAGGCAGGAGGAAAUGGGCCUGGAAAUUUCCAGCCAGCAGUGUUUGAUGCACUGCUUGAAAAGCUGCACAAUGUGCAUAUAAAGGAAACUAGGGACAGCCUUUUUCCUUGUUGUUGCUAAACCAUCAGGCUGCAGUUGCUACAUUUACCUAGGAAAACCUGCUCAGGAGCCAUUUUAAGAAUUAAUUUGUCUCAGGAAAAGGAAAGAAAACAACACUGGUUAUUUUGUGCACAUUACAGAGUGCUGCAUAUCAAAGACCCUUUCACAAACACUUGGAAAAAUCACAUGGGAGGUAAUAACCCACUGAAUUAUUUUACUGUCCUUUUCUUGUGCAGGCAGCCACAGCACAUCCACACUGUAUGCAGUGCACAGCUGCACUGAUAUACACAAAACCUCACAAGGGGAUGUGGAAAAAGGGAAGCAAUCACAGGCUGGUAUAAUGUACUAUUAAGGUUUUAUUGGUACCAGCAUGGAGGAACUGCAUCACUAAUUAAUGGAUGCACACAGGCUACACAUAUCCUUCCAAUCAAGUGACAAUAAACCCUAGUAGCCUUCUUCACCCUCAUACAUACAUUACUUGAGCUAUUUACCCCACUCCCUGUUUUUCUGGUCUGCACAUUCCCCUCUUCCCUCACCAUCCCACAUCUACACUAGCAAGACACAUCCCUGAAUUGUGCUCUGACAUAGGGGAGAUGAACAUCAUGUCCCCAUUCAUGAGCUUCCCACAUUGGUGCCACUGGACUAAGUUUAUAACAGCAGACAGGGUUCAAACUAUGCAGACAGGAGGUUUGGAACCCUCCCCCACAGAUGUGUCCACAAAUACUGACACAAAAAUAACCAUUAAAUUCAGGUUUGACAUUUCUCUGUGCCUCUUUUACUCCUUGCCCAAGGGGGACAACAUCCUCCUCCCCCAGGGGAGCACAGCAAUGGUAAGCGGAUCAAAGACAGCAAGAAGGUUCAGACAUUUUGGUGAUGGCAGCCCUACAAAAGCCAGGACAGACUUCAGUCCCUACAAAAAUGUACCCACAUAGGGCUGCACAUCUCAGCUUGCACCCAGCUGCAGCAGCAGCAGCUGCAGCACCGCUCUGCCAAGGACUGGCUGAGGGAGCCAGGUCCCACCUCCUGCUGAAGCACUGCACCUGAGCAGCCAGCACUGCUGCAAGGUACACAGCACAGUUUCACUUCUUUCAGCUAAUUGCAGAGCUCUUGGGGAUUCUGAAAAGAAUGGUAUACACACAGAGGUUCAAAAACCUUACAGCUACAGUGCUCCUAUCUGAGGAUAUACCCCUACUGCAAGCAAGACUUAACUAUGUGCUUAAAUUCUACUAACUUCAGGGGACAUAAGGAUUUGCUUAACUUUCAUUAUAGCAGCCAUUUGUUUUACAGUUACCUGGAUAAUAUGUCUUGCCUUUUCAUGGACAGCACUGAGCUCCUUCCACAGUAGGGUAUUACUUCUUACACAUAAAUGGAAGAUCAGGUAGAAAUGGAGGCAUUUUUAGCUAGCUACCUGAAAAACAUGGACAAUAACAGGCAUAUGAUUUUGUUGCAGACUGCAGUGCUAUCUGAGUGCUCCUGAAUUUUCACCGGUGAGAUAAGCAUCAGUGAACAGCUACAACAUUGUCCUUAAAGAAGGAUAACAAAAGGACAGUAACCCAUAGCAAAGAAAAUUUCCAUACUGUGUUCUGCGUUUUAUUUUUAAAAAUGCAGCUACAGAUGUGAAAUAACAGAUGUUAGACUCUCACCACACAUACACCGCUAUAAUUCAGAUGACCUUGCUGAAUUAGAAAGCUAAGCACAAGAUAAAUGUCCACUUUCUCUCCUCAAUGCUUGUCUUGAGCAGGGAAGAGUUGUGCUGGUGUUUAGUUAUCUGUUUCCUCCCAGUUCCCCAUCUGCAAUUCCCCAAAGUGUGUUCUUACAGCACUUCAGCUAGUUUUUCCAAAUCAGAUGCUGCUGACAUUGUGAAUCUUAUGAAUUUUCUUUGUUGACAGGGAUUAGAUACUGCUUCACUUUAACUCCCCAAAUUGGCAGAAGACUGGCCUGGACCUGCUGCCAGUUUGUGCUCAGGCUCUACUCCCAGUAGGCAAGAGAUGCUCAGGGCUUCUGGACAGUCAUAUGCAAUACAGUGAUUUAAUCAAAAUUACAUGCCAGUUUCACUCUUUAAAGCAAAACUCAAACAGUCAAAUAAUUAAUUAUUGCUUUAAAUUCUUAAGAUCUUUUCUUUAAUUCUGAAGAUCUUAAGAUCUGCAUGUGUUCAAAAUACUCUAAAGAGAAGAAACAGACUGACAUUGUCUUUCGGUCUUUUGGUAGUAGCAAAGCAGAUUAUUCCUAUCAUGUUCUGCAGGGGUGCUGUCAAAUGCUGUUUCAGGCUAUGGGCCAAAACCUACCCCCAGCCCAUGUGCUCAGUUCCCACUGGCAUCAAUGAUAUCUCCACCAUGGACUGACAGCAGUAAAUGGGCAGAGAUGUGCUGGCUGCUCAAAUAGCACGAUCUAUGUGCUGAAUAAUUCAUUUUAAACUGUUGCACAGAUGUCAAAAUGUUAUUGCUGAUUUCUAGCCAGCAGAAUGGGCGUUUCUUCUCCUGAUAUGAGUGUGUCACUGCCUGUAAUGCCUGAGAAGAUUUGGGGGAUGUCUCAGCCAGACAGCAAAGCCCAUACAUGGCAUGCCUGUGAACAUACAAUUAAAAUGAUCACUUAAGGCCACCUUUCACUCUCCUCAUUAGGAUUCUCUUGCAGAUGCACUCACCCGUUGCCUUCAAAAAGUUUCAAAAAAACAGCUCAAAACAAGGCAGGUUACAUAUGUUAGAGGGUACUCUCCAAAAAUCACUUCAGCCCUUUGGAUUUUUGCUGAAAUACCAUGGAAAAACUCUAAGUACAA
rnacentral:lncRNA from 1 species